CCUACGGGAGGCAGUAGUGAGGAAUAUUGGUCAAUGGGCGAGAGCCUGAACCAGCCAAGUCGCGUGAGGGAGUACUGCCCUAUGGGUUGUAAACCUCUUUUGUCGGGGAGCAAAAGCCGGACGUGUCCGGCUGUGAGAGUACCCGAAGAAAAAGCAUCGGCUAACUCCGUGCCAGCAGCCGCGGUAAUACGGAGGAUGCGAGCGUUAUCCGGAUUUAUUGGGUUUAAAGGGUGCGCAGGCGGAUUUUUAAGUCAGCGGUAAAAUCGUGGGGCUCAACCCCAUCCAGCCGUUGAAACUGGGGAUCUAGAGUGUGCGAGAGGUAUGCGGAAUGCGUGGUGUAGCGGUGAAAUGCAUAGAUAGCACGCAGAACCCCGAUUGCGAAGGCAGCAUACCGGUGCACAACUGACGCUCAGGCACGAAAGCGUGGGUAUCGAACAGGAUUAGAUACCCCUGUAGUC
rnacentral:rRNA from 1 species